rnacentral:lncRNA from 1 species
CUAAGGAGAGGCCCCGGAUCAGGACAGCAGUUUCCUCAGACGUGAUGUGGUGCCCCUUGCAUCCUGCUCAGAGAAUUCUCAGCAGCACAGAUCCACUUCAAGGAAACACUGACUUGAAAACUCUCCCCCAUGGUUUUGUCUGAACUGGCUGCCAUUCUGCAGCACACACCAGAUCCAAUUGCUGGAGUCGGGAACCCGAGAGAUACACUGCCUCUAGGACUGGGACAGAUAGCCACUGAGUACCUGCUUCAAAUCACCCUGCACGUUUUCUCUUUGGAAAGAUAAGCACUGGAGAACCAUCUCGUUACCUUCAGCAGAAAUGGAAACAAAUCAAGACAUUAAGAAUGCCGCAGUGGACAGCAGUUAUGCAAGGUUCAGCAGAGGAAGUUUUCAAGAUGGUGUGCCUCACUAGCCAGAAAUCAGAAAAGAUCGAAGCUAGCCUUUUCAUCUCAGCUGCUCCUUAAAUCAGUGCAACCCCUCCAAAUUAAUGUGAAUUGAAACUUGCAUUGCUUUUCAACUUAAUUGAAUACUUACUAUAUGUGAACCACUGCACAAAAUAGGGGAAGAAGAUGUGGGAGACAAAGAUGUGGAGCCUGUCUUCAAUAAAUUUACAGUUAGUUUCAGGGUACAUUGUUUUUCUUCUGCUGUUAAUUAGGUGUAUCCCCAAGACAAUAAAUACAUGAAUGGAAAAGUAUAUUCUGUGUUUUAAGUCUCUUUAAUAAAAAACAAAACAAAAUCCAAAAAAACUCCUAACAUGGCAACUCAGGACAUUUUAAUCCUUUUUUUUGUUGUUGGGCUUCUGAUAGGAUCCAUUUUAUUGAUUCCAUAAAUAUUUAGUAGACUUUAGACAUAUUAAUACAUUGUAGUUUGAGUUAAUUUGCAUUAAAUUCUGUUUUUUUCCCCUUAGGUAUAGAUUGUCUGUUGGAAAAAUAUAUUGCUUGUGGAUUUCUUGGGGAGUGGGAAGGUGAAUUAUACCUGUUGUCUCUACAGUCCACUACCUUCCACACCCUAGGGCAGUGGUCCCCAACCUUCUUGGCACCAGGGAUCAGUUUCCUGGAAGACAAUUUUUCUGUGGAUGGUGUGGGGAUGGUUUUGGGAUGGAACUGUUCCACCUCAGAUCAUCAGGCAUUAGUUAGGCUCUCAUAACGAGUGCGCAGCCUAGAUCCCUCACAUGCACAGUUCACAGUAGGGUUUGCGCUGCUAUGAGAAUCUAAGGCUGCCACUGAUCUGACAGGAGGCAGAACUCAGGUGGCAAUGCUUACUGGCCCACUGCUCACCUCUUGCUGUGCGGCCUGGUUCCUAAUAGGCCAUGGACCCCCACAGACGGGUACUAGUCUGCAGCCUGUGGACCCCAGCCCUAGGGGCCUGCCAUUCUGAGUGAGUUAUUAGCAUGAAGAAGAGGAAGAUCUGGAUCAAACGUGGGUGAUGGUACUCAGAGACCCAAGAUAGGAUAGGGAUGGAACAAAAUCCAUCUGGGCAACGGCUCUAUGAAAAUUUGGCUAAGUAAUUAUUUCAGUAUUCAUUGUAUUCAUUGUCCUUCGUGUUCCAUAAGUUAAAUGACUGUCUAAUUUUUCCAAAAAUUUAUUUCUGACUUGAGAAUAAGUGUGUCAUGAUUUUCCCAGUGUAAAGACACUGAUAUAACUGUAGAUACCAGACAUUUUAUGUAGUGUCU